GUACAUGCGAGACCUGACCGAGCGCGCCGCGUGCGUUAUGACGGCCCUCGGGUUGUAAACCGAGACAGGAGGGAAGAAUCCCCUCGGCCAAUACCCCGAGGAGGGAGGGUACCUCCAGAGGAAGCUCCGGCUAACUCCGUGCCAGCAGCCGCGGUAAUACGGAGGGUGCGAACGUUGUUCGGAUUUACUGGGCGUAAAGGGCGUGUAGGCGGUUUGGCAAGUCAAGGGUGAAAUGUCCCGGCUCAACCGUGGACCUGCCCUCGAAACUGCCAGACUUGAGGCCGUGAGAGGAGACUGGAAUUCCCGGUGUAGCGGUGAAAUGCAUAGAUAUCGGGAAGAACACCAGUGGCGAAGGCGAGUCUCUGGCACGGUUCUGACGCUGAGACGCGAAAGCUAGGGGAGCGAACGGGAUUAGAUACCCCGGUAGUCCUAGCCGUAAACGAUGGGCACUAGGUGUUGGCCGAUCGACCCGGUCAGUGCCGCAGCUAACGCGCUAAGUGCCCCGCCUGGGGAGUACGACCGCGAGGUUGAAACUCAAAGGAAUUGACGGGGGCCCGCACAAGCGGUGGAGCGUGUGGUUUAAUUCGACGCAACGCGAAGAACCUUACCCGGACUUGACAUCCUAGAGACAGCCCAGAGAUGGGUCUUCCUUCGGGACUCUAGGACAGUUGUUGCAUGGCUGUCGUCAGCUCGUGUCGUGAGAUGUCGGUUAAGUCCUGCAACGAGCGCACCCUUGCCCUUAGUUGCCAGCGAUCGGCCGGCACUCUAAGGGGACCGCCCGGAAACGGAAGGAGGUGGGAUGACGUCAAGUCCUCAUGACCUUACGUCGGAGCUAAACACGUGCUACAAUGUCGUACAGAGGGAUGCAUGCCCUAGGUGGAGCCAUCCCCAAAGCCGCUCCGUCGGAUUGGAGUCUGCACUCGACUCAUGAGUCGAUCGCUAGUAUCGUGAUCACCUGCGCGCGGUAUACGAUCCCGGCCUUGUACACCCGACCUACAAGACACCGAGUCGUGG
rnacentral:rRNA from 1 species